AAAAUUAAAAUAAUCUUUUAGAUGAUCAACCUACUGGUAAUUUGGUGUCCGGUGAUGUCGAUCCAGGUACAAACCCUAUAUUUAAAGACAAACAUUUGUUGUAGAACUUGUUGGUGGACCACUCUCUCGUUGGUAUUAGACAUGUACUGUUACCUGAGAUAAAAGCAGUAACUGAAAAGGAGAAAGGAUCAGAUAAUCCAAAUCAGGAAUCUUCCAGAGUGCAGAUGAUGCAGUUUUUGUGAGUGAGGUAUAAGAUCUGUCUCUUGUAAGACCUCUUUUAAGAAUUUAACCCAGGCAGUUGUUUACAACCAAGUUAGAUCUCAAGCAUAGCAAAGGAAUCGUCCAACCUGUGAAUUCAGUUUAAUUACUGAGAUCAAGGAUGAUGAAACAUUCAUUAUGAUUAUACAGAGCUACAAAGAGUUAUGUUGAGAAUCCAAAUUAUCAUAAUGAAUUGAGACGAGACAACACCUGGGUGGAAAUUGAGGAAAAAUGCAGAUAAAAGGCUUUUUUAUAUUAACGUUAUAAAUCCAAUAUUUUUAUCAAAUCGUCACAUAGAUAAUAUUUCUCUACGCAUAAUACUAAAAUUAAAAAGGUCAGGUUAAAACAACUUUAAUUAUCCAUCGCGUGCGAAAAACAGUGCUUCGCAUGAC